GCCUAUCGUAAAUUCACAUCAGCAAGUGAUGUAUGGAGCUAUGGAAUCGUUAUGUGGGAAGUGAUGUCGUACGGGGAGAGGCCCUAUUGGGAUAUGUCCAAUCAAGAUACCUAACACUGCCUUGUUGGAUCCAAGCUCCCCUGAAUUCUCUGCUGUGGUAUCAGUGGGCGAUUGGCUCCAGGCCAUUAAAAUGGACCGGUAUAAGGAUAACUUCACAGCUGCUGGUUAUACCACACUAGAGGCUGUGGUGCACGUGAACCAGGAGGACCUGGCAAGAAUUGGUAUCACAGCCAUCACGCACCAGAAUAAGAUUUUGAGCAGUGUCCAGGCAAUGCGAACCCAAAUGCAGCAGAUGCACGGCAGAAUGGUUCCCGUCUGAGCCAGUACUGAAUAAACUCAAAACUCUUGAAAUUAGUUUACCUCAUCCAUGCACUUUAAUUGAAGAACUGCACUUUUUUUACUUCGUCUUCGCCCUCUGAAAUUAAAGAAAUG
rnacentral:lncRNA from 1 species